ensembl:lincRNA
CUUCAGUGCCUCACCGAAUGACGUUUAGAUCUGCGCCUCAGGGAUUUUUAACUCCCCAGGAUGGGCCUUUCUACCCUGUGGCUCUGUAAGGUCUGGAUAUUCUGAGGGGUCUGUGGAAUUCUGCGGGUCUCUUUCUAUGUGGCUGCUUGUGGGGUUGAUCUCAACUAUGGGCGGGGCUGUAUUCCUGUCCCUUUGGAAAGUUCUGUGCUGUUUUCUGCUCUUUAGUCAUCUAGUAUCUUUUCCCACGUGAUGACUUUCAACAGCUUUUUUUUGGAUGUAAUUUAAUACUGUAUAAAGAGGAGACUUAGAAACAACUGUCUCAACAGGCUAAAGACGGACAGUUUUAGUAACAGCCACAGCCUCGUCUUCCUUCCUUAUCACUUGAAAUGGUCACUUACACUUCUGCCAGAUAACACCUGUGAAAGGCAGGGGUCUCCUUCCUCUGAAUGUGUUUACUGAUUUCCUGGAGGUCACCGGGUCGUUGUUCAGUAAGAACAAGAAAGAGCUUCUGCCAGUGUUUUCCACUCUCUUCGGAAGACAGAGGAUCUUUCUCCGGGGGCUACCAUGGACUCCCAGGGUUUAGAAUAUUCAGUUCCUCAGAUCCCUGUUUAUGGUAGAAUCAUAAGACCCUGCAGAAGAUUCGCAGACACAAGAAACAGUGGCACAGAGCAUGGCCCUUUUCCUUCGUGGAGAAGCGUGCACUACCCACUCUCAGAAACCUUAGAGAUUUCAGGGCCCACCCUCUUCCCGGAUCAACAGGGUCCAAGAGCAGGAAAGUGGAACUGAAUACCUGGACUAAGACCAAAGAAUGCUGCAGUGUGGACUGGGGGGAUAAAUUCCAGGCAUUUCUUCUUGCUUCCAAAUGUAACUGAAUCUCUUUUAUCUGGAAAUAUGACUUGAGUUCAUAGGAAAGAGGAAUCAGGCCAAAGCCACUUUUUGAUAUUGGGGCAUCAGAAAUACCAUAGGCACAGGCUUUUUCACAGGAUGGUAUUUCUUGUUUGGACAUCUGGCUGAUCUGCUGAAAACAUGCAUCUGUGAGAAAUACAUGGGAACAAUUUCUUUUUGAUAAAUAAGGAAAUACUUUAGUAGAGGGUUAGUAUUGAAUUCUUACUUUUGUGUAUUUUCUUUUAGCAAUAACACCUUUUUCCUUUCUUUGCUAUGUUAGGAGAGAAAGAAGACUCAUGUUUAUUGUACGAACACAGUUACUUUUACAUUUUAAUGCACUGCUCUUAGAAAACAAACCAGGAAGCCACACGGAUUAUUUCUACAUGUUUCCACCCCUGUGGGAAAUCAGUGUUUCGAAACUUCAGCAUAUUACAUAUAAACAAACAUACCUCAUUCAUCUCGCAUCUUUUGAAUAAAUGAUUUAAUAAGAGAGUAAAGCAACAGAUAAAAGGUUUGCCUCUAAAAGAUUGUUCCGUUAUAAGCUAUUUCCCUUUGCUAAGACACUGUUUUAACAAAAUAUUUCUAAUUUAAAUUCUGGACACUUUCUGCUUUAGGCUUGGAGCUGUUGCUGUAGUCCAGUCUGUGCCUACAGGUGGCAGUGCUCCUUCAUGGUUGCAGCGAUGUGGAUUUCAAUGCAUUGGAUUGUCAAUGGAAGGUGAAUUUAGGAAGUGAAAUCAAACUUCAGAAAUCUAUUUUCAGGUAUAUUCUUCUAGUUUUAUGAAAGCAUAAGCUUAUGUUGUUUAAAAUGCUGUUAUAAAUAGAAGUGAACUUCAGCCACCAGCCUGAAGGCUGUCCUUUCUGCUGUUGCGUGUGGACGAUGUCUGAUGGGAAUGCAUCGUCUCUUCUCAGUAUGUGGAAAACAAAGUGGCUAGGAGCGGUGGCUCACACUUGUAAUCCCAGCACUUAGGGAGGCCGAGGCGGGUGGAUCAUGAGGUCAGGAGUUUGAGACCAGCCUGGCCAAUAUGGUGAAACCCCGUUUCUACUAAAAAGAGAAAAAUUAGCCGGGCGUGGUGGUGGGCAUUUGUAGUCCCAGUUAUUCAGGACGCUGAGGCAGGAGAAUCACUUGGACCCGGGAGGUGGAGGUUGCAGUGAGUGGAGAUCACACCACUGCACUCCAGCCUGGGUGACAGAGCAAGAUUCUGUCUUUAAAAAAAAAGAAAAAAAAGAAAAGAAAAGAAAAAAGAAAAACGAAGUGACUGAACUACUGAGAAACAGGUUCUCAGACCUCAGUUCCAGAAAAUUAUGAAUGGCUAAGCAUUACUGUAGAGUAAAUCUGUUUCAUUUUUCCACAGGUUUGUCUGUAGAUUGCAUUAGGGCAAGACUGGGUAAGUCUGUCUUUAUAAAAUCCACACUCUUGUGAGUACCAUAAUAAUUCUAUGGGCACCUUCAGUGGGGCUUGUUAGAACACUGAUGCUGAUGCUCCCUAAACUUAUUUUUCAAAGAACUGCUGGUUUAAUCAACAAAAUAGAAAUCACUGGAGAGAUUUAUUAAGCAUUUAACUUUUUUUUUUUUUAAAGGCAUUUAACUUCAUGUUAAGGAGUCAAAAAUACAAAAGGGUUGUGGAGUAGAAUUUCUGUAAAUUAAAUAACCAACUGGAGCUCAUGAGCCUGUGCUAGACUAGCUGUAAGAGUAACUGAUCACAGUUGGUGUGUGAUGACACUGGGCCAGCCACUGUGCUGAGGUAUUUGGAUGGUUUAACUCACGUAAAUCUAUAUAGCAACCCUACCAUUUUCUUUCAGUUCUAUGAUGCUUAAUUUUUCAUAUUUCACAGUUCUAAAAUUAGAAUAUGUUCUAAAAUAGAUGACUUCUGACAAUCCCUAUCCAUAAGGCAGAAACUGAGAUAGUAUUUGUUUGUUUGCUUUUGUUUAUUAUUAUUAUUAUUAUGUUAUUUCAAUAGGUAUUGGGGGAACAGGUGCUAUUUGGUUACACGGAUAAGUUCUUUAGUGGUGAUUUCUGAGAUUUUGGUGCAUCCAUCACCCGAGCAGUGUACACUGCACCCAGUGUGUAGUUCUUUAUCCCUCACCACCCCUGACCAUUUCCCUCAAGUCCUCAAAGGCCAUUGUAUUAUUAUUAUGCCUUUGUGUCCUCAGAGCUUAGCUCCCACUUAUGAGUGAGAACAUUUGAUGUUUCGAUUCCCAUUCCUGAGUUACUUCACUCAGAAUAAUGGUCUCCAGUUCCAUUAAGGUUGCUGCGAAUGCCAUAUGGCUGAGUGCCAUGUUAUAUAUUUUUUAGGCUAUGUAGUUGCAUAUUUUUUUGCCUUGGUACGUUUUUAUGAUAUU